rnacentral:rRNA from 1 species
CCUACGGGAGGCAGCAGUGGGGAAUAUUGGGCAAUGGGCGCAAGCCUGACCCAGCAACGCCGCGUGAAGGAAGAAGGCUUUCGGGUUGUAAACUUCUUUUGUCAGGGACGAAGCAAGUGACGGUACCUGACGAAUAAGCCACGGCUAACUACGUGCCAGCAGCCGCGGUAAUACGGAGGUGGCAAGCGUUAUCCGGAUUUACUGGGUGUAAAGGGCGUGUAGGGGGGGAAGCAAGUCAGAUGUGAAAACCACGGGCUCAACCGGUGGCCUGCAUUUGAAACUGUUUGUCUUGAGUGCUGGAGGGGCAAGCGGAAUUCCGGGUGUAGCGGUGAAAUGCGUAGAUAUACGGAGGAACACCAGUGGCGAAGGCGGAUUGCUGGACAGUAACUGACGCUGAGGCGCGAAAGCGUGGGGAGCAAACAGGAUUAGAUACCCCUGUAGUC